UAAACAUGCAAGUCGAACGAUCUCUUCGGGAGAUAGUGGCGCACGGGUGCGUAACGCGUGGGAAUCUGCCCAAGGGUCCAGGAUAACAGUUAGAAAUGACUGCUAAUACUGGAUAAUGUCUUCGGACCAAAGAUUUAUUGCCCUUGGAUGAGCCCGCGUUGGAUUAGCUAGUUGGUGGGGUAAAGGCCUACCAAGGCGACGAUCCAUAGCUGGUCUGAGAGGAUGAUCAGCCACACUGGGACUGAGACACGGCCCAGACUCCUACGGGAGGCAGCCUGUGGGGAAUAUUGGACAAUGGGCGAAAGCCUGAUCCAGCAAUGCCGCGUGAGUGAUGAAGGCCUUAGGGUUUGUAAAGCUCUUUUACCAGGGA
rnacentral:rRNA from 1 species